rnacentral:rRNA from 1 species
UACGGAGGGGGCUAGCGUUGUUCGGAAUUACUGGGCGUAAAGCGCACGUAGGCGGCUUUGUAAGUUAGAGGUGAAAGCCCGGGGCUCAACUCCGGAAUUGCCUUUAAGACUGCAUCGCUAGAAUUGUGGAGAGGUAAGUGGAAUUCCGAGUGUAGAGGUGAAAUUCGUAGAUAUUCGGAAGAACACCAGUGGCGAAGGCGGCCAACUGGACCAUUACUGACGCUGAGGCGCGAAAGCGUGGGGAGCAAACAGG